GUUCAUAUCUUGAAAUGGUUUUCAUAAACACUAUAGUGCGUCAUAUGCUCUUAUAAAUGAAAUGUCAGCAGUGGUGUGAAACAUCCGACACGGGCAGGAUCCCAUUCGGCCCGAGCUUCGAUAAAAGGUCUCUGCAGAGAAGAAGUUAUUCCACGCCUUGCUGGCAACGCAGCGGAAGAGCAAUGCGAGGAGACGCGGCAGCCCGCAGAGGUGCAGCGUCAACCAGCUCGCCGUCCCGCCGUCGGGGAACUGGCUGCACUGGCCAGGUGAGGACUGAUGCAGAGAGGCUGUGUGCGCACGUGAACCAGGCCGUGGCCGAUGGAAAACACGAGCGUUCCCCCGCUGGACAAAGUAUUAAAGGUGACACUGCAUUUGUUUUCCACCGCGACUGCACCAAGAGGAAGAACAAGUCCAGGUUGUGUGCGUGUUCCUCGGCUGUUGAUCCUGGUUCCUAUGGAGAUCGAGCACAGAAAUAGAUUACGGUGAUGAUUGAUUAUGUUUGUAUCGUCGGUGAAUCUGAACAGUUCUCACUUUUUAAAAAUAUACUUCUGUAGCAACACACGAAAACACAGCUCCACGUUUUAUUCCAUGGCAGUUUAAUAAUUUGUCUGAAGCAAAACAAAAAAAUAUCUUUAAUCAACGAUCGAAAUAAUUAGCAAAUCCAAAGAGUUACAUAAAAAUCUAUAAUUAAAAAAUCUGAUUCAAGAUUUUUUGUCUUAAUUAUAAAAUAACAUUUGGGAAAUAGGUGAAAAAUAUUCAUCACAUUUGUUAUUUUUCUGAAUGAAUAUUAAUAAUAAAACACCUUAAUUGAUAAAUCGUACGAGCUUCUUAUUGAAAUUUCCUUUUCAGGAUCAGUAAAAAACUAAACAAACGUCUCAUCUUCUCUUUCAAUCAGUGGACCCACUAAUAUUUGUUAUCAGUAAACACACGAACCCACUAACACGUGUGGUGAUUCAUUCAAAUACAUACCAAAAAAUAAAAAUGUAAAAACUUUGACCUUACACAAAGCUCUCCUCCCACCGUGUCCAGGAUGUU